CUCUCUCUCUCUCUCUCUCUCUCUCUCUUUCUUUUACGAAUCCUCUCUCUGUUUCUCUUUGAAACCCUAAUGCAUCCAUAGUUUCUCUAAUGGUCUCACCCAUAAAUCUGAACUCAUCUUUAAUUUCAAACCCUAAAUACGCUAUAUAUUGAAGAUCAACUAUGAAAACCCUCUUUUAUUCAAGGCUAUUGAUGAAGAAAACCUUGUAACUUCAAAGUAUUGAUGUUUCAAAGUUCUCGACUCAACGAUCAACCAAAACCCAGGGUCGAGCUCCAGGGCCAACCAACCAACCGGUCACUGUGAGCCAACAGAAGUCCAGAUCCAGCCCCAGUGAUGUCUGUGUGGAACAACGAAGGUUUUGGGAGAGUCAGCCCUUGUGUCUCACGCACGAGACCCGUCUUUGCCCUUUUGUGAUGUAUUUAUAUUCUGUCAUGUUGGCGAAGACUUUGCA